rnacentral:rRNA from 1 species
UACGUAGGGGGCCAGCGUUGUUCGGAAUUACUGGGUGUAAAGGGUUCGUAGGCGGUGCGGCAAGUUGGGAGUGAAAUCUCUGGGCUUAACCCAGAGGCUGCUCUCAAAACUGCUGUGCUUGAGUGUGAGAGAGGCUCGUGGAAUUGCAGGUGUAGCGGUGAAAUGCGUAGAUAUCUGCAGGAACACCCGUGGCGAAAGCGGCGAGCUGGAUCACUACUGACGCUGAGGAACGAAAGCUAGGGGAGCAAACAGG